GCAAUGAAGAGAAAAAUGGCAAGAGGGUGGAGGGAUUUUGGGGAAAGUAAAAAAAAAAAGAUGAAUAGAAUAUUUGAUAACCACCCGAAUCCCUUUCUUCUCUCCAUCAAACUCCCCACUAAAUCUACUACUCAGAUUUUUCGUCCAUCUCAAACUCUCCUGGACGCACGAGCAAAAAUAAUGCCCACGCCAAGAUUCGAACACAAGACCUCCUUCACACCAACACUCC
rnacentral:lncRNA from 1 species